rnacentral:misc_RNA from 1 species
GCAUGUUACAAACUAACAAGCGAAAUGCAGCAAACGUGGACACCUUUCCAGUAUUAAUGGAUCAUUCCUCACUUCUUCUCCUUUUUAUCUCUAAUUGAAACUAUGAAACAAAACCUUGUUAUUUUGCCUUUGCAAUGAAGGUGGUGGUGGAGAUUUUGACAGGAGGUCUCUUCUACAUUCAAGUGGGUAAUGAUGCUACAGUUGCCGAUCUCAAGCGAGAGAUCGGUGACCAACAAAAGCUACCUCAGGAUCGUCUCAUCCUCUUCCUCGACAACCAUCAAAAUCGCCUGAUAAAUGAAGAUGGAGAUGGAGCAUCUCUAGUUGAUUGUGGAGUUCAUGAAGGAUCUCAUAUCUACCUCUUCUUCAAUCCACUUGAAGAUGGAUCUACCCAUCAUUUUUUGUUCACUUUGCCUGAUUCUUUCCUUGGGGAGGCCUGACUUGCUUAGUUUUCUGGCAUUUUUUUUUUCUUGCUAAAAGUUAAAGGAGGAAAAGCUCCCCAGCAUCACUAACCUCGCUGAGAGGAGUUUGCAGAUUGUCUACCAAGAAAGGCGGUUUGGUAAAUUUUCUGGCAAAAUUUAGCAUAGAUCAUUGUUGUAUGGCUUUGGAUUAGAGUUUACUUUUAUUUGGUAGAACAUGGUGCUAGGUUUUGUA